UUUUAGGAGAAAAUUGGAAAAAGGGGGAAAAAUCCUACGGGAAAACACACGCGGGAGAGGUUCGCCUGUGCAGGCACUGCACACUAUUCGUGUGUGUGCACGUGUAACCAGGCGCAAGACGUGCGCACUGUCUAUUCGCGCGGGGUACAAUGCCAGUCCUGCGCAAGUUGGCUAAUAUGUGCGGGUCGCAUGGCCAGUCCUGCGCACACGUCUUAUCGCACACAGGCAGGCCAGUUUGUGCGUGUCACAUCGGGCGCGGACAGGACCAGGUGCCGCGGACUGUGCGCUCGUUUUCUGCACAGUAGGCCUUAUGCGCGCAUAGGCUAGCCUCUGCGCAGGCAGGGUAGGCCGGUGCCUGCAGGCAAGGCCUGCAAUGCACGGCUGGCCUAGUGAGGGGCACUGCUACUUUGCGCAGUGUGCCACUGUCCCUUUGGGUGCCAUAUGCCUCUUUAGGCGGUGUGUUGCCACCAGUGGAGGAAUGUUUUCUCCAUUUUUUGU
rnacentral:lncRNA from 1 species